UUUUUGGGGAAAUUUUCCCCAAUGGGGGAAACCCUGCCGGACCAAUACCGCGUGAGGGAGGAAGGCUUUUGGGUGGUAAACCUCUUUUAUUAGGGAAGAAUUUGACGGUACCUAAUGAAUAAGCAUCGGCUAACUCCGUGCCAGCAGCCGCGGUAAUACGGAGGAUGCAAGCGUUAUCCGGAAUGAUUGGGCGUAAAGCGUCCGCAGGCGGUUUUGUAAGUCUGCUGUCAAAGCGUCAUGCUUAACAUGAUACAGGCAGUGGAAACUAUGAGACUAGAGUACGUUAGGGGCAGAGGGAAUUCCCAGUGUAGCGGUGAAAUGGGUAGAGAUUGGGAAGAACACCGGUGGCGAAAGCGCUCUGCUAGGACAUGUACUGACGCUGCAGGACGAAAAGC
rnacentral:rRNA from 1 species